CAGGAAGGUCCGAGGCUGGGGGAGCAGCCGUUGGCUCUGGUGCCCCUGGGGGUGGGAGCACGAGUGGGCAAGGAUGAUGGUGAGGCAGAGGAGGCGGCCCCGAGGGAGCGCCCGGCUGAGAGGCGGGGGGCCGAGGGGCCCGGGGAGCGGGCGUCACCGAGGGCCCUGGAAGCGGCAGGGCUGGGGGAGAGGAGACGCGUGUGUGGAGCAUGGGGACCCCAGCCCAGCUCCCACUUGCAGACCUGGGCCGCGGGCUGCCGGCCGAGUGGCCGGGGGGCCUGGCUGCCCAGGAGGCGGGCCGGGGCCGCGGCCGGGGGCGCGGAGCGGAGUUAGGGUCGCCAGGCCGAGCCGAGGUGGGACGGACCGACGCAGAGAGGAAGGGAAGCCACCUGGCCUGAAGAUCCUGUCUCUAAGAUCCCAUUCUGAGGUCCACGCUGCUUUUAUGAGCUGUAACACUCACCGCGAAGAUCUGCAGCUUCACUCCUGAGCCCAGCGAGACCACGAGCCCACCGGGAGGAACAAACAACUCCAGACGCGCUGCCUUAAGAGCUGUAACACUUGCCGUGAAGGUCUGCAGCUUCACUCCUGAGCCAGCGAGACCACGAACCCACCAGAAGGAAGAAACUCCGAACACAUCUCAACAUCAGAACGGACAGACUCCAGACGCACCACCUUAAGAGCUGUAACACUCACCGCGAGGUUCCGCGGCUUCAUUCUUGAAGUCAGUAAGACCAAGAACCCACCAAUUCCGGACACAGUAGCAUUUGGGAAUAAUAAGAAUUGUAGCUGGGCAUGGUGGUACACGCCUGUAGACCCCUAGCAGCUGCCAUCAUCCUCACCAUCCGCAUAUUAUUGAUAUAUUAACUCUUUGAUGGCAACCAUAGCUUAUCCCCCUUAUCUCCCUAUGCCCUACAGCAGGGCAGUGGAAUGGUUAAGAGGCUUUGAAGUCUAAGAGUGCUGGCUUAAAACCCUAAUUUGUCAUUUUGGAUGUGUGGCUUUGGACACUUGGGGCAGGUCACCUAUGUUCUUCAAGCCCUGUAUCCUUAUCUGUCAGAUGAUGAUUUUUUUUUUUUUAGACGAAGUCUCACUCUCUUGCCCGGGCUGGAGUGCAGUGGCAUGAUCUCGGCUUACUGCAAGCUCCACCUCCCGGGUUGACGCCAUUCUCCUGCCUCAGCUUCCUGAGUAGCUGGGACUACAGGCUCCUGCCACCACCCGUGGCUAAUUUUUUUGUAUUUUUAGUAGAGACAGGGUUUCACCAUGUUAGCCAGGAUGGUCUCGAUCUCCUGACCUCGUGAUCUGCCCGCCCCAGCCUCCCAAAGUAUCAGAUGAUUUUAACAACUAUGCUUCCAUGACUUGCUGGGCUAGAUGAUAUGACUGUAAAAUGCCUAACCCAUGGUUUAGCAUCAAGUAAGCAAAUUGUAAAUGGUAGCACUGCUCUGCCUAUGACUAUUUAGUCUUGUGCUUUAAACUCAAAUAUUUGUUGGCCUACUGAAGUCACCACACAGAGAAAGAUGCUUUUCAUUCUCAGUAAAGAACUUUGGGAGAUAACUGGGGCAGGCAGCAAGAGAACAGAUGUCAUAUGUCUAGCAUCAGCAAACUCAUCAGAACUGAUGGGCAGCUCACUUUGCUUAGAACCUGCACCAGCAUACACACGGGGCUGCUUCCCAGUCACACUGCUCCUGGGAAGGUAGGGGGGCUGCUGUUCUGCAAUUAGCGCGGUUCUUUACCUCCUAUUACCGAACUGCCAGAGUUCAUUUGUGUUCAGUUAGGUAGAUGACCAAUUCUUGUUCAUUCCUAUUUUCUUUUGCUCACUAAUGUGUUUAACGUUCACUAACCUACCAAAUGUGAUUUAUUAGCGACUUUUUCUUUGAAGAUGGAGUGGAGGAAUCCUAGCGCUUUCUGCAACAUGCUACUGCUGUUAUGGAACAGUGCAGAUAUGGAAGUGCAUCAGCCGGGGAUGGGGAGAGGCUAGGGCAGUACAUGUGAAUGGAGAGGUAGCCCCACCAGUGUGUUUUCUGAAAUACAGUCCCGCAGAGGGCAGUCUUGGGAAAUUACUGUUCUCACACACUCUUCUUGACCC
rnacentral:lncRNA from 1 species